UACGUAGGGUCCCGAGCGUUGUCCGGAUUUAUUGGGCGUAAAGAGCUCGUAGGCGGCCGUCCACGUCGGAUGUGAAAGCUCAGAGCUCAACUCUGAGAGGCCAUUCGAUACGGGACGGCUAGAGGCAGGUAGGGGAAAGUGGAAUUCCUGGUGUAGCGGUGAAAUGCGCAGAUAUCAGGAGGAACACCGGUGGCGAAGGCGGCUUUCUGGGCCUUGCCUGACGCUGAGGAGCGAAAGCUGGGGGAGCGAACCGGAUUAGAUACCCCUGUAGU
rnacentral:rRNA from 1 species